rnacentral:rRNA from 1 species
UUCCCCUUCGGGGGACAAAGUGACAGGUGGUGCAUGGUUGUCGUCAGCUCGUGUCGUGAGAUGUUGGGUUAAGUCCCGCAACGAGCGCAACCCUUAAGCUUAGUUGCCAUCAUUAAGUUGGGCACUCUAAGUUGACUGCCGGUGACAAACCGGAGGAAGGUGGGGAUGACGUCAAAUCAUCAUGCCCCUUAUGAUUUGGGCUACACACGUGCUACAAUGGACAAUACAAAGGGCAGCGAAACCGCGAGGUCAAGCAAAUCCCAUAAAGUUGUUCUCAGUUCGGAUUGUAGUCUGCAACUCGACUACAUGAAGCUGGAAUCGCUAGUAAUCGUAGAUCAGCAUGCUACGGUGAAUACGUUCCCGGGUCUUGUACACACCGCCCGUCACACCACGAGAGUUUGUAACACCCGAAGCCGGUGGAGUAACCAUUUGGAGCUAGCCGUCGAAGGUGGGACAAAUGAUUGGGGUGAAGUCGUAACAAGGUAGCCGUAUCGGAAGGUGCGGCUGGAUCACCUCCUUU